GGACAGAGGCAGGCUAGCCUGGGCCUGGCCCGGGAGGCCCACAGGACUCUCAUCCACAUCCAGCCGCUCGGAGCCACCAUGAGCCGGCCCCAGCCCCCAAGCCCAGACGAGGAUACGCUGGAGACCCUCCUGGAUGACCUCAUCGGCUACUACCUGGACAGGGCAGGGGAGGGCCGGCUCGAGGUCUGCAGACAAGCAGCUCUCACCUGCAGGGCCCGGUGGCUGCUGGACACAGGGGUCCCUCUGCAGCUCUAUCUGCCUGAGGAUGUGGCCCCUCAUUUGGGGCCCACUCACUCCCAGGGGGCUCCCAGCUCUGCCCAGCAUGUCUACCACAAAUUGGCACGUGCACUGGAGUUCCUGGAGCUGAUCUCCGUCAACCUACUUCUGUUUCCCUGGAGGAAGGAAAUCAGGUCCCUGAAGACGUACACGGGGAACUUUGCCUACUGGGUCCGGCCUGUGCUUUCUGAACACACACUGCACACCAUUUUGGGCAGGCUGGGCUACAUGGCCACCUCUGAGGCAGAGUUUUCACUGAUCCAGGCCAUCAGCAAGGAGGACACCAAGCAGAUGGUGUUUGAGAUCUUCCUGACGAGAAAUGCGUGUGAGGCCGUUCUCGGUACCUCGGGCAGGCAGCUCCUCGCACUGGGCAGAGAGACCGUGGCCAGGCCCCACUGCAGGCCCAGCUCAGAGAGAGGGCUGCUGAAGACCCACAAGGGCACGCAGGAGGCCCAGUCAAGCCCAGGCCCCUCAGCAGGGUCAGGGACUGAGCGGACCCUGGCGGAAAGUCCUGAUGGUCAGCACUCUCUGCCUGUGGCCUUGAGCCUGCCUGAGAUCUCAAUAGCCCCCCACCGUCCCCUCCCUGGCCCCCUGGCCUCCUUGGGGCCUCCUCGCCACCCCAGCACACGUUCGGACAGUGAGGAGUUCCUGACCUGCUACAGUGACCUUGUGCUACACCGGACACCCUUGUUCCCCAGGGACCAUCCCCUGAGCAGCCUGAAGGGAAAGCAACUCCAGGGCCCAGGCCUGGGGCCCAGCCCACCUCCAGGGGAGACAGCUGCCCCCUCAGGUAGCAGCACUGAGCAGCCCCCGGUCCUCAACGCAGCUCCUGAGAGCAAAGAGGUCACCAUUCCCAGGCAGCUCUGCCUGACGCCAGGCUCUCGGUUGUCGGAGAAUUCCUUGGCCCCAAAGCCAGAAGCUCUGCCAGAGCUGGCUACUCCUGGCACAGACGCUGCGCCUCCAAGCACUCCCUCUGACAUGGAUGAGCUCUGUGAGUACCUCGUCCACCUCCUCAGACCCCCAACUCCAGCAAGCCAUCCUGGGGGCUCCCCUGGCUCAGGGGUUGAGGAGAAUGGACAAUCAGAGCCUCUCAUGAGGCCAGAGCCAGCCAGGGAGGGUGGCAGCCCGGAGAGUAGAGUCGCUCAGUUCUGGAGGUCUCCUCAGGCCCCCUCUCAUGUACAAGAGCCCCCCAGUACUCACUACAUCCCCCCGGAGGGGCUGGAGGUGCCAGUUCCCACACAAGGAUACUACACAAGCAACAGCUGAGGAUGUCACCCCUGGAUGGUACAGGGACAGACACCUGAUUAAGCCGACUGCUCUUCUGCCAGAAAGGCAAGUAUUACCCAGUAAUCCCACUAUUGGGCAUAUACCCAGAGAAAACCAUGAUCCAAGAAGAAACAUGUACCAUAAUGUUCAUUGCAGCACUAUUUACAAUAGCAAGGACAUGGAAACAACCUAAAUGCCCAUCAACAGAUGAAUGGAUAAAGAAGAUGUGGCACAUAUAUACAAUGGAAUAUUACUCAGCCAUAAAAAGGAAUGAAAUUGAACUAUAUGUCAUGAGGUGGAUAGACCUAGAGUCUGUCAUACAGAGUGAAGUAAGUCAGAAAGAGAAAAACAAAUACUGUAUGCUAACACAUAUAUAUGGAAUCUGAAGAAAUGGUACUGAUGAACCCAGUGACAGGCAAGAGUGGAGAUACAGAAGUAGAGAAUGGACUUGAGGACACGGGGAUGGGGUGGGGGGCGAAGGGGAAGCUGGGACAAAGUGAGAGAAUAGCAUAGACAUAUUUACACUACCAACUGUAAAAGAGAUAGCUAGUGGGAAGUUGCUGUAUAACAAAAGGAGAUCAACUCAAUGAUGGGAGAUGCCUUAGAGGGUCAGGACAGGGAGGGGGGAGAAAGUCGCGGGAGGCAGAGGAUAUGGGGAUAUAUGUAUAAAUACAGCUGAUUCACUUUGGUGUACCUCAAAAACUGGUACAAGAGUGUAAAGCAAAUAUAUUCCAAUAAAGAGCUUAAAAAAAAAAAAGAAAACACCAAAUUCAAACUCUCUAACAGUGAGAAACCCAGCUCUCAUAAUCUACAGACUAUUUACUUAUUUGUUCAAUUUUAGCAUAUUGGUAAAUUCUAGUACAGAGUAAUUUCAGAACUGCUAGAACAUAGACCUGUGAGAAACAUUUUUAAUAACCAUCUUUCAGCAUUUAUGUAAAAUAAUUUUUACCUUUACUCUUCUUGCAUCCUAUCAAGAUACCGUUUUUCAAGGUUACUUCAGUAAGUUCUUUUCUUCCUAGCACCUUCAGUGUGGCUGUCACUCGUCAUUCAUCCGUGUGGUAUUCCAUCUUCUGUUCCCCCUACGUCCUAGUUCAUCUUAACUAUUUAUUUGGGAGGUAUGUGAGACAUUACGAUGCUUAGAGUUAUACAAAAUGAUAUAGUCACAGGAGUGCAUUCCCCUCUCAUCCCAGCAACCCCGAUUCCACUCUUCCCUUCUUUCCAGCCUUUUCUCACCAAUCUAUUAGUUUCUGGGUUACCCUUCCUGUACUUCCUAUGCAUCUGUGUAUUUUUCUUAAGCUGGCAUACUCUAGAUACUCAUUUGGACAUUGCUUUCUUCCCUUAACAGUGUGUCCUGGAAAUCACACAUCUGUGAAGAAAGACCCUCCUCAUCCUUUUUCACAGCUGUAUACUACUCCAUUGUGUGGAUUAGCAUGGUUUAUUUAACCACUCCCUUGUGUAUGGGACUUUAGGUUGUUUUCAAUACUAUGCAAUUACAAACAAUGCUGCAAUAAGUAACCUUGUGCAUAUAUACUUUCAUGCCCUAGAAGUGGGGUUGCUGGAUUGCAAUUAUGUAGUUCAUCAGGUAUUAUUAUAUUUCCCUCCAGAAGGGCUGUACAAAUUUGCAUGCCCACCAAUAAUGUAUAAGAGUGAUUGU